UCUCGCGCACGCGCGCUGCUCGCUUCUCAGGGCGGAUUCUACCGAGGUGAAAACUAUCUCUGUUGAGGGGAAACGAUAACUAGAAGCAGCGCGGAAAAGGCAGCGAGGGCUCCAGACCCACGCGUACUCUGUGGCUCCCUUCCCUUUACCUGUGCUCGCGGUCGUCCCUGUUGCCCCGAAGGGAGCUCCUCAGCUGAGGGAGGACGCGAGGCGAGGCAGCGCCUCUGCGCUUGCGCGCAUACGGUGGCCGGAAGGAGCCAAAGGCGGAGCCUCGGGCGACACCCGCGAGCCCCACCCUUUCACCCCCACGUGGCUGCAUAGACCCGUAUGCAGAGAUGGCUUCCAAGCGCAUCACACAGGAAACCUUCGAUGCUGCAGUGCGGGAGAACAUUGAGGAGUUUGAGAUGGGCGCUGAGGAGGCCGUUCGAGAGGCGGUGGAGCAGUUUGAAUCACAAGGGGUUGAUCUGAGCAGCAUUGUGAAGGCAGCACCAAAAGCAUCUGUGGACAGUCUCCAGGAGCCCACACAUGAUGUCCUGCAGGUCCUCAAUGAUCUGCAGGAGUCCCUGAAUGGGUCUCGGCCCCAGGAGGUGUCAGCCCACCUUGUCCGCUUCUGUGACCAGUGCAGGCAGCAGAAGGCCAGCCGCUACCUGGCAGCCCAGAAGGGGGCCUACCCAAUCCUCCUGGCUGCCUGGCAACUUGCUGCCACAAGUGACCAGGGCCUUCUGCUCCAGGCUCUCAAUGCCCUGGCAGUACUGAUUGAUGGCCAGCCUGACCUUCUGGACGCCCAGGGCCAGCAGCUGCUCGUGGCCACGCUGGCACAGAAUGUCUCCAACACUGAACUCACCUCUUGUGGGAUCCGCUGUGUGCGCCAUGCCUGCCUGAAACAUGAACAGAAUCGACAGAGUCUGGUGAAAGCCGGAGUGUUGCCCCUGCUAACCACUGCUAUCACGCAGCAUGGCCAGCACGCCGAUGUGGUCAGGGAGGCCUGCUGGGCCUUGCGGGUCAUGACUUUCGAUGAUGACAUCCGAGUGCCCUUUGGCCACGCCCAUGAGCAUGCAAAGAUGAUUGUUCAAGAGAACAGAGGCCUGAAAGUGCUGAUUGAGGCUGCCAGAGCGUUCCCUGACAACCCAGGAGUCCUGAGCGAGCUCUUCAGCACUCUGUCCCGCCUGGCUGUGCGGAAUGAAUUCUGCCAGGAGGUCAUCGACCUUGGAGGCCUUGGCAUCCUUGUGACCCUGCUGACUGACUGCAGCGACCACCAGGACCUCGUGAAACAAGUGCUCAGUGCCCUGAGAGCUAUCGCAGGCAACGACAAUGUGAAGGACGCCAUUGUCCAGGCAGGUGCUACAGAGUCCAUUGUGGCUGCCAUGACUCGGCACCUGGCCAGCCCUCAGGUGUGUGAGCAAAGCUGCGCGGCGCUCUGCGUGCUGGCCCUGCGCAAGCCUGAGAACAGCCGCGUCAUUGUGGAGGGUGGUGGCGCGCUGGCAGCCCUGCAGGCCAUGAAAGCACACCCGCAGGAGGCUGGCGUCCAGAAACAGGCUUGUAUGCUGAUCCGAAACCUGGUGUCCCGCAGCCAGGUCUUCUCCAAGCCCAUCCUGGAACUGGGGGCAGAGGAGCUCAUUUCACAAGCCCGGGCUGCCCACCCAGACUGCGAGGAUGUAGCCAAGGCCGCAUUACGAGACCUGGGCUGCCGUGUGGAGCUUCGUGAACUGUGGACAGGAAAGAGGGGUGACCUGGCACCAUGACCCCAGCUCACCGAGUUCAAACCCCAGAACAUGUGAGCUCUGUGCCCUGCUCCUCACCCAUGCCACCCAGAGCAAAAGUGUUCAGCAGGUUGUGCCCUAUCUGCCAGCAACCUGGACACUGGAAAUCACGGUGCCCCCAUGUGGGCUUGUCCUCUAUGCCAAGCCAUGGAGGUCCGGCCUCAUCACCAUCGGCAAGCGAAACUGUGCCAGCCUUCAAACGUCUCAGCCUUGCAGAGGAUUGACGCUGCCCAAACUUGGUAUAUCCCGUAGCCCUAUCCGAGCCUAGGGUCACGCUACAAGUGACGAGGGUAAGUCCAUUACUUUUAUUUUCACUCGGGCCUUAAGUUUCCCUCACAAAUUUCAGCUAUGGGGGUAGACGGGACCCAUUCCUCCCCACUUAAAACUUUGCCACUGCCCUACCAUCUUGCAGGACAUUUUUUUCUCAUUCUUUCUUAGUGAUACCGGCUUGCCCAGCACAUUUACUGGGGGAAAACAUCUUUAGCCGCUUCCCCAAAGCUUUGUUCUGCUUCUUGGAGCCCCUUUUAACCCCACCCAUCUCCAAGAUUCUAUUUUAUAGGUUCACUCCUCCUGCCAGACGUGUGCCCAGGCCAACCCACAAGGAGCUCUCCACAUACACCAGCUUCGUGGACACCAACCGGGCAAAGAUUGACAGGUUAAUUUUACCCAUAUGCCUACUCAUAAAAAACUCUGUUAUCUCUUAACACUUGUGGACACUUGUACAGGAUGGAUAGAAGCAUUUCCAGUCUCCAAGGAAACAGCAGAUGCCGUAGCUCAGGGUCAUGGAGCUGGUGUCAGAAGCUCUCAACAUCUCCUGGACAAUUGGACUCAUCAAACAACUAACCAAGCUUUCCACUGAAUUCAGUUUAUCUUAGCCCUCGCCUCAGGGCCACUCCCACCCCAUGCUCCCCUAUGGGCCUGAGCCCUUUUGAGUUGCUUUAUGGCAGGCCCUUUCUCCUUAAUCAUCACCUCCCAGUCCAAAUUCCUCCACUGGCGGGGUACCUACCCUACCUCUCCCUUUUAAGGUCCCUUCUCCGUUCCCACGCUGACAGUUGUCUCCCUGUCCCCACACCAGAGGACCCUAAUACCCCUAAACCUGCCCCGCUCUCCCCAGGGGACAGAGUACUCCUUAAACAGUUAACUCUUAGGUCUCCCGAACCUUGAUGGACAGGAUCUCACACGGUAAUCCUCACCACACCCUUGGCUGCUAAGCUCUUGGGACACCCAUGCUGGUACCAUCUCUCCAGGCUCAAGCGGGCACCUACUCAAGACACUUGGUCUGCCCAGCAGACAGGACCUUCCACCCUCCGGUUUUCCAGGAUGCUACAAUGAAGGGCCUACCUGCUCCUCAUUCUGGCACACUCAUCUUUAGUGAUAACAAUUUUUUUUUUCCCUAGACACCUGCCUUCUCAUCUCCCCCAAGGAACAGCUGCCUGCCUUUUCCGGGAUGACAGUUCAUGGGAUGCCUUUCCAGCCACACCUCUUGCUAAGCGUGGACACCUGGCUCUCCCCUUCCCCACGCCACCCCGUGCCCGCAGGAAGUAGCCAGAUUUGAGUCUACGCUCUUUUUUCCCAAAGAGAGCCUAAAUGUUUGUCAUAAUUACCAUUCUAAUUUUCUGUCACCCCUAUAUCCAAAGAGUCUGGAAUGUCAAGUUGGGAGCAUAGGCCCCAGUCCCUUGCAUCUAUCCCAGCCCCCAGGCCUGGUCUGGACUUCAAAUCCCAGCAGGCCAGAUCCUGACCCCUCCCUGGGGGUGGGGUCAGGACUACUCCCCUCCCCAGGGUAUUUAAGUGAUUCCCCCCCCCCCCCAAAAGAGGAACAUUUGGUCUCCCUUUCUUCCUCCUCGGGGUCGCUUUUUCCUGGCUUCCUGGUUUCCCCCUCGAGUCCACCUGAGAGUGCAGAACUCCCAUUAAACCUGGAUAUUUCUUAA